rnacentral:lncRNA from 1 species
UAGUGCAGGAUUGAAGCGAUAGCAUCAGUCCCUGGUUUGCUCAGUUCUUGCUAAGGUACGUGCAAGCACCUUGUUCGACUCUUCGACUUAUUAUAUUACAUCUCGCUAAAUUCCAUCUUCGAUUACCUUGAUCUCACGCUUGGAUCAUAUAAUCUUCCCAAUCUAUUGUGAUUAAAAAUAAUAAUGUUUCUUUUCUAAUAACGUACCAUCUUUUUUUAAAAUUAACACCUUUUUUUUUCUUUUUGUGGUAUGAACGAUGCUUCGAAAGAUGUUUGCAGGUUCACCGCUGGCGUUGAACUACAGGAGGAUUUUCCUGAUGGGGAGCAAUAACUGUCCACAAGGUUGUUCGGGUUUCCCAUACUUCCCUCCUCCAUCAGCACGACAUCGCUGCAUGCGGGGACACUUCGAGGUGGAUCAGCGUCAGCGUAGUCAUCAGUGUCGUCGUCGUAGCCGUCGGUGUUAUUACUAAAAAUCGUCGUGGUCCCGGGAACAGAACCGCCACUCCACCGAAAUUGAUAUGGAAGCUUAAUAUUCCAAAAAUAACGUCAGUGCCGCAGUUACCGCAACCGGGGCGGACGCAGUUGUCAUCGCGGCUGAUGCCGCGAUGACGACCUCAUCACAGCAAUUGCCGCUGGGGGAGGCUAAUGCGGCGACGACGACCUCAUCGCAGCAGUUGCCGCCGGCGGAGGUUGAUGUGGUGACAACGCCAUCAUCGCCGAAGUGCCCGCUGACGCUGCAGCGAAUGCCGCCAUCAUCACUGCAGCCAUCGUCGUCAUUGUCGUCGUCGCGGUCAUUGUCACCGAAGUUGUCGCCACAGCAGCUGCUGUCGUGUUGUUCAUACGGUGAUCAAAUGAUAGAAUUACCGUGGGUGGUAAUUGAAUGAUGCAUAAUGAUAGAUCGUCUGCUCUAUCACAUAAUUCGAUGCAAUAUAUAAUUUUUGUUAUUGGAGGAAAUAAUGUUUGUGUUGGAGGGUUUAUUGAAUUCGGCAAUUUUAUGGUCCAUCGAGAAAUCUCGUAUC